GGGGAUUUAGCUCAGUGGCAUAAGCCCCUGCCUUAGAAGCAGGCAGUCCUGAGUUCGAUCUCUGGUCCCGA
rfam:Cavia porcellus supercont2_2 genomic scaffold, whole genome shotgun sequence.